UACGGGGGGGGCAAGCGUUGUUCGGAAUUACUGGGCGUAAAGGGCUCGUAGGCGGCCAACUAAGUCAGACGUGAAAUCCCUCGGCUUAACCGGGGAACUGCGUCUGAUACUGGAUGGCUUGAGGUUGGGAGAGGGAUGCGGAAUUCCAGGUGUAGCGGUGAAAUGCGCAGAUAUCAGGAGGAACACCAAUUGCGAAGGCAGCUCGCUGGGACGUUACUGACGCUGAGACGCGAAAGCGUGGGGAGGAAACAGGAUAGAAACCCCUG
rnacentral:rRNA from 1 species